rnacentral:rRNA from 1 species
UACAGAGGUCUCAAGCGUUGUCCGGAUUCAUUGGGCGUAAAGGGUGUGUAGGUGGCGCCGUAAGUCGGGUGUGAAAUUUCGGAGCUUAACUCCGAAACUGCAUUCGAUACUGCGGUGCUUGAGGACUGGAGAGGAGACUGGAAUUCAUGGUGUAGCAGUGAAAUGCGUAGAGAUCAUGAGGAAGACCAGUGGCGAAGGCGGGUCUCUGGACAGUUCCUGACGCUGAGGCACGAAGGCCAGGGGAGCAAACGGG